GCACUGUCAAUGCAUGGCGAAAGUGUGGUGCUCCUCUCUACAGCCCUAAGGUUAGUACUUCCCUCCCCUUAAAUACAUGCUUCCCCAUCCUGCAUUUCAAUCUACAAAAUCACCACUGCAUCUUGCUCAUCGAUCUAAAUCACCAGUCCAUCUUCGAUUUGCUGAGUCGCCUAGUCAUUCCACAUAUAAAUACACCCGGUCACCACCGCAUCCCUCGUGUCAACCUGCUACAUCAUCGCUGCAUCCAGCGUAUCAAUCUAAUUAUGUCAACCUGCUACAAUAUGUGCUCUUUUGAUCUGAGAUAGCUCUUGUGCUUGGUUGCACAUUAGAUCAUUCAGUUUUUUUCCCUGGUCGCCCACUUCCCUGGUGCUCGCCCUUGCACUUCCCUGGCCGGCGCCCCUCCAUGGUCGAGCUCACCCCUGCAGGGAGCCCCUCCCAUGGCGCCUAGUCCUCUUCCCAUGUCGAGCUCACCCAACCAAUCGUCUCCAUCGCAGGUGUUGUGUUCCCCUUCCCUUUCCUCAAGUUUGGUCCUUGGCGCCCAAGCUUCUAUGUCCCUACAGCACGCACGUCGUUGCCCCUACCCCCAUGGUCGGCCGACCUCGUCAGUGAGCCCCUGGCGCUACCCUGCAGCUCGCCCUCAAGCCUAGGGUCUUGCUGUUUUCCUUUGCCCCACGCGGAUGUUGUAGCCGGGCUAUGUCUCUCCCUGUCGUAGCACCCCGCAAAUGUUUUGUUCAUCGCCGGUUUGUCGUGGAAGAGGAAAGUCCAUUUGGCGCGCUCUAGGUGUUUGGCAAAAAGCUUAAACCAGAAAUCGUCAUCGCCCUUACACAUAUCGAUUUGGUUUAUGACAUGAUUGGAUAGGAGCUCCGAACGCGAGCCAUAGACGGGAGUUGAUGCCACUGGGCGAUGGAUGGUCGCAUCCUCAGGACCUCGGCGUGCAACAGUAGCGGCUGUCAUUUUUCUCAUCGCCUACUUCAAUAGCCUACAAUAUUAGCAGUACCUUGCUUUUUACUUCACAAGAAAAGGUUGGCCGAGGUCCCUCCUCUAGCGCAAGGAUUUCUACUGCAACGAUUGCAACACACACAGGUUGUGGAAACUGAGAUCAUUGUAACUCAAAUGAGAGCUUGGCACUUAGCAUAUAGACGCCUCUAGAACCAAUCUAGAAUUACUGUGAGGAAAAACGGAUAUAGAGUGAUAAAAGGCAUUAAUGUAAGUACUACAUAAAUGUACUACUUGUAUUUUUUUUAAUAAUCAAUGCUUCAAAAGUCUAUAUAGAUGCUGACGGGUGUCAUGGUUUUUUCAUUAUUGUAAGUUUGUUACAAGCAAGUGCUUUCCCUCACACAACUUCACCUUUUCUUUGCAUGUUUAUUACUUUUGUUUGCUGGUUUUGACUUACAGCGAAUUGUGUAUGCAACUACUGUAGCAUAUCAGUGACCUUCCGAGAAGAUACAAUGGUGUUCUUAGUAGUAACGCUGCUUGAUUUCUAUAGUUGGAGUCAUCAAACAGCUAACAUUUACACUUGAACUAUUUGGUGAAAUGCUUGGGAGAAAGAGGUCAGCAAGAAUGGAGUCAUGGAACAUCGGCAGGAGGGGUGCAGCAGUGGCAACUGAUGUAUCCCUUGAACAAUCUGGUUUUGACAAGAUGCAAAUCAAUCUAGUGUACACUGUAUUCUACACUUGCACAAAUUGUUUGACUAAUUACAAGAUUAUCUUAGUGUUUUGGUUUGGAUUUAAGAGUACACUUAUGUAUGAAAUAUUGACUGGUACUCAUCUAUAUUAUAUUAAUUAUAUUAUUAUUAAAUA